GAACGCGAAGAACCUUACCUGGAGUGACAUCCCGAUGAAUACAGGGUAAUGCCUGUAGAGCUUCGGCACAUCGGAGACAGGUGGUGCAUGGUUGUCGUCAGCUCGUGUCGUGAGAUGUUGGGUUAAGUCCCGCAACGAGCGCAACCCUUAUCCUUAGUAGCCAGCAUUUAAGGUGGGCACUCUAGGGAGACUGCCGGGGGCAACCCGGAGGAAGGCGGGGAUGACGUCAAAUCAUCAUGCCCCUUAUGGCCAGGGCUACACACGUGCUACAAUGGCGCAAACAGAGGGAAGCGGACCGGUGACGGCGAGCGAAUCCCAAAAAGUGCGUCCCAGUUCGGAUUGUAGUCUGCAACUCGACUACAUGAAGCCGGAAUCGCUAGUAAUCGCGGAUCAGAAUGCCGCGGUGAAUACGUUCCCGGGUCUUGUACACACCGA
rnacentral:rRNA from 1 species